rnacentral:rRNA from 1 species
AGCAUAUCAAUAAGCGGAGGAAAAGAAACUAACAAGGAUUCCCUUAGUAACGGCGAGUGAAGCGGGAAUGGCUCAAAUUUUAAAUCUGGUCGGGAAACCGAUUCGAAUUGUAAUUUAAAGAAGCGUUUACAGCGUCCUCUCGGGUAUAGGUCCCUUGGAAUAGGGCAUCAUAGAGGGUGAGAAUCCCGUCUGUGACACGAGUUCGGGUGCGAUACGUUACGCUUUCGACGAGUCGAGUUGUUUGGGAUUGCAGCUCAAAAUGGGUGGUAAAUUCCAUCUAAGGCUAAAUAAUUGCAAGAGACCGAUAGCGAACAAGUACCGUGAGGGAAAGAUGAAAAGAACUUUGAAAAGAGAGUUAAACAGUACGUGAAAUUGUUGAAAGGGAAACGAUUGAAGCCAGUCAUGCCGGUGGGAAAUCAGCUUCCGGGGUAACCGGGGAGUGCACUUUCUCGCAGGGCAGGUCAGCGUCAGUUUCGCCAGUCGUAAAAAGUCCGUCGGAAUGUGACUCCUUUCGGAGUGUUAUAGCCAGCGGUCGAUGCGACGAGCGGGAUUGAGGAUUGCAGCGGGUGCCUUUCGGGGCUAAGUGCCUGGCCCUUGUUCGUGGUCGUCUUGGUAACAGCGUGCUGGUGCCGAGCCCGAUCCGCGGACACGGGGUUUAGCGUCACGGUAAACUCGUUAAGGAUGCUGACGUAAUGGCUUUAAACGACCCGUCUUGAAACACGGACCA